rnacentral:misc_RNA from 1 species
UCGUAACAAGGUUUCCGUAGGUGAACCUGCGGAAGGAUCAUUACCGAGUGCGGGUUCUAACGAGCCCAACCUCCCACCCGUGUUUACUGUUACCGCGUUGCUUCGGCGGGCCCACUGGGGCCUGGCCCCGGUCGCCGGGGGGCUUCUGCCCCCGGGUCCGCGCCCGCCGAAGCGCCCUGGAACCCUGUCUGAAUAGUGAGUCUGAGUGGAUAUUGAAUCAUUAAAACUUUCAACAACGGAUCUCUUGGUUCCGGCAUCGAUGAAGAACGCAGCGAAAUGCGAUAAGUAAUGUGAAUUGCAGAAUUCCGUGAAUCAUCGAAUCUUUGAACGCACAUUGCGCCCCCUGGCAUUCCGGGGGGCAUGCCUGUCCGAGCGUCAUUUCUGCCCUCCAGCACGGCUGGGUGUUGGGUGCUGUCCCCCCGGGGACACGCCCCAAAAGCAGUGGCGGCGCCGCGUCGGGUCCUCGAGCGUAUGGGGCUCUGUCACCCGCUCGGGAGGGACUCGGUCGGCGCUGGUCUUCCUCCAGGCGACCCUUCGGGGCUCGUCUCCUCCGGUUGACCUCGGAUCAGGUAGGGCUACCCGCUGAACUUAAGCAUAUCAAUAA